AGAGUUUGAUCAUGGCUCAGAGCGAACGCUGGCGGCAGGCCUAAUACAUGCAAGUCGAGCGGUCGUAGCAAUACGGCAGCGGCAGACGGGAGAGUAACACGUGGGAACGUACCUUUUGGUUCGGAACAACCCAGGGAAACUUGGGCUAAUACCGGAUAAGCCCUUACGGGGAAAGAUUUAUCGCCAAAAGAUCGGCCCGCGUCUGAUUAGCUAGUUGGUGGGGUAACGGCCCACCAAGGCGACGAUCAGUAGCUGGUCUGAGAGGAUGAUCAGCCUCACUGGGACUGAGACACGGCCCAGACUCCUACGGGAGGCAGCAGUAGGGAAUAUUGGACAAUGGGCGCAAGCCUGAUCCAGCCAUGCCGCGUGAGUGAUGAAGGCCUUAGGGUUGUAAAGCUCUUUCGACGGGGAAGAUAAUGACGGUACCCGUAGAAGAAGCCCCGGCUAACUUCGUGCCAGCAGCCGCGGUAAUACGAAGGGGGCUAGCGUUGCUCGGAAUCACUGGGCGUAAAGCGCACGUAGGCGGCUUUCUAAGUCAGGGGUGAAAUCCUGGAGCUCAACUCCAGAACUGCCUUUGAUACUGGAAAGCUUGAGUCCGGGAGAGGUGAGUGGAACUGCGAGUGUAGAGGUGAAAUUCGUAGAUAUUCGCAAGAACACCAGUGGCGAAGGCGGCUCACUGGCCCGGUACUGACGCUGAGGUGCGAAAGCGUGGGGAGCAAACAGGAUUAGAUACCCUAGUAGUCC
rnacentral:rRNA from 1 species